UACGGAGUGUGCAAGCGUUACUCGGAAUCACUGGGCAUCAAGCGCACGUAGGCGGAGAUGCAUGUCCGGGGUGAAAUCCCCCAGCUCAACUGGGGAACUGCUUCGGAAACUGCAUUUCUUGAGGACGAGAGGGGAGAGUGGAACUUCUGGUGGAGCGGUGAAAUGCGCAGAUAUCAGGAGGAACACCGGUGGCGAAGGCGGGUCUCUGGGCCGAUACUGACGCUGAGGAGCGAAAGCGUGGGGAGCGAACAGG
rnacentral:rRNA from 1 species